rnacentral:rRNA from 1 species
AUUGAACGCUGGCGGCAGGCCUAACACAUGCAAGUCGAACGAGUGGCGGACGGGUGAGUAAUGUCUGGGAAACUGCCCGAUGGAGGGGGAUAACUACUGGAAACUGUAGCUAAUACCGCAUACCAUCGGAUGUACCCAGAUGGGAUUAGCUAGUAGGUGGUGUAAAGGCUCACCUAGGCGACGAUCCCUAGCUGGUCUGAGAGGAUGACCAGCCACCCGGGAACUGAGACACGCCCCAGACUCCUACGGGAGGCAGCAGUGGGGAAGAUUGCACAAUGGGCGCAAGCCUGAUGCAGCCAGGCCGCGUGUAUGAAGAAGGCCUUCGGGUUGUAAAGUACUUUCAGCGAGGAGGCGUUACUCGCAGAAGAAGCACCGGCUAACUCCGUGCCAGCAGCCGCGGUAAUAC